rnacentral:rRNA from 1 species
GGGGGGGGGUGCUAUAAUGCAAGUCGAGCGCGGGAAGCGAGUGGAUCCCUUCGGGGUGAAGCUCGUGGAACGAGCGGCGGACGGGUGAGUAACACGUGGGCAACCUGCCUGUAAGAUCGGAAUAACUCCGGGAAACCGGGGCUAAUGCCGGGUAAUACUUUCUUUCGCAUGAAGGAAAGUUGAAAGAUGGCUUCUUGCUAUCACUUACAGAUGGGCCCGCGGCGCAUUAGCUAGUUGGUGAGGUAACGGCUCACCAAGGCGACGAUGCGUAGCCGACCUGAGAGGGUGAUCGGCCACACUGGGACUGAGACACGGCCCAGACUCCUACGGGAGGCAGCAGUAGGGAAUCUUCCGCAAUGGACGAAAGUCUGACGGAGCAACGCCGCGUGAACGAUGAAGGUCUUCGGAUCGUAAAGUUCUGUUGUUAGGGAAGAACAAGUACCGUGCGAAUAGAGCGGUACCUUGACGGUACCUAACGAGGAAGCCCCGGCUAACUACGUGCCAGCAGCCGCGGUAAUACGUAGGGGGCAAGCGUUGUCCGGAAUUAUUGGGCGUAAAGCGCGCGCAGGCGGUUCCUUAAGUCUGAUGUGAAAGCCCACGGCUCAACCGUGGAGGGUCAUUGGAAACUGGGGAACUUGAGGACAGAAGAGGAGAGUGGAAUUCCACGUGUAGCGGUGAAAUGCGUAGAUAUGUGGAGGAACACCAGUGGCGAAGGCGACUCUCUGGUCUGUUUCUGACGCUGAGGUGCGAAAGCGUGGGUAGCAAACAGGAUUAGAUACCCUGGUAGUCCACGCCGUAAA